rnacentral:rRNA from 1 species
AAUGAACGCUGGCGGCGCGCCUAAUACAUGCAAGUCGAGCGAGAAGACGUAGCAAUACGUUUGUAAAGCGGCGAACGGGUGAGUAACACGUGGGUGACCUGCCCUCAGCUCUGGGAUAAGCCUGGGAAACCGGGUCUAAUACCGGAUAUGACUCCAUGACGCAUGUUGUGGGGUGAAAGCCUUGUGCGGCUGAGGAUGGGCCCGCGGCCUAUCAGCUUGUUGGGGGGUGAU